AUAAACCCGCGCCACUUUAUCCUUCAAUAGAAUUAAACCCAAAAUCAUUUCAAAAUCCCGGGUCAUAUCCGAAAUCGCUUAUGCUUCCCGCCCUCAAAUCACAUAAACACAUACAAAUAUUCUGUUUCACUUUAAAACCCUCCUCUUUUUCUUAUGAACUUUUUCCUCACAUUUUCGUAUUCAUUUGAUCAUUUCCUCUUCGAUUCUCAACAGAUUUAAGCUGAAUUCGGGUUUUUUUUCCCCAUAAUAUUUCAGAAUGAGCGGAGAUAAUUUUACGGACGGAAUACCCAAAUUCCGUUCAAUUUUGGGUGACAUUACAAAUCGAUCAGUUAAAAGGGGGUUUUCGUCGAUUUCGGAUAAUGUAGGGUUUAAUUCCAAAGAAGAAGCAAGUUACCGAUUUACAAAACAAGUUUGUUUAAGAGAAGAAAAUCCGAUCCAAGAGAAUCCUAAACCCCCCCAAUUCGAACCAAACCCUAAUACUUCUUCUACUUGUAGUGGGGAAACUGAUACAUCCAAAGAGGGUUUGGUGCCGGUUAAUGAGAAAGUUAGCGAGGUUAUAGAACGGUUUGAUUUGUCUGAUAGUGACGAUAGAUUAGAUCAAGGUGAAGGCAUUACACAAGCAAGGGGUACAUUGAAUGAUAGUUGUAGGAAUGAUAGUAGGGAUCUUGGCGUUGGUAGACUAGCGUCGAGUGAAGGUGGGUGUGUCGAGUGGUUAAGGUUGCCUAAGUCUUCGUCGCAAGGUUUUCGAUCAUUUGAGCUGGAGAGGUGCGUGGGACUCAAGAAUGAUGGUUCUAAUUUGAAUGCUGGUGCGGAUAUGCUGAAAGCUUGCUCUUGUUCUUUUUGUUUGAAAGCUGCUUAUAUUUGGUCGGACCUUCAUUAUCAAGAUACCAAGGGUCGAAUAGCUGUUUUGAAGAGAAGUCAGAAAGAAGCAAGCAUUUUGGUUCAGAAAAGUUGCAGUGGGAAAGAAACUGACAUUCAAAACCUGGGAAAUCCCAACAAGUCUUCAAAAUUAGUAUCUGAUCUCACAAGUCAGUGGAGAUCACUCUUUCUUAACAUGGAGGAUAUAUUUGUUCAUGAAAGCAACCAGCUUGUGGUCCUAUGUUCUAUCCUGGCGAGGAGAUGCACUUUCACGUAACAAAGCUUCGAGGGAUUGGUGGGUGUCUAAAAAAGAUAAUACUGGGUGGUCCUAAGAUGUGGUGCAACGUGGCCCAGGGAAUGAAAGUACUUUCCCGGUUGGCCGCAAGCCAGUUACAUUCAACUAAAAGAUUUGAGGGACAAUUGCAAGAUGGAUCUGGAGCAGAUAACAGGGAUGCCUUCAGAGAGAUAGGAGUGUGCUUGCAAUGUUUGUUAUGAAUGUAAGAUCUCCCUGCUACUCUAAUUUCGAGCAACUUGUAUUUGUAUGUUUGCACAUGCAUUUGCCUAUAACAACAUUAUAUAGCUUCUUUCGUUAUCCUUAAUGUGUUGUCAAAAACUGUAAAAUGUAUGAUCUCAGUUUAUGAUUCCUUUUGUUUUCUAA